rnacentral:rRNA from 1 species
UACAUUUGAGUGAGUGGCGAACUGGUGAGUAACACGUGGGAAACCUGCCCAGAAGCGGGGGAUAACACCUGGAAACAGAUGCUAAUACCGCAUAACAACUUGGACCGCAUGGUCCGAGUUUGAAAGAUGGCUUCGGCUAUCACUUUUGGAUGGUCCCGCGGCGUAUUAGCUAGAUGGUGAGGUAACGGCUCACCAUGGCAAUGAUACGUAGCCGACCUGAGAGGGUAAUCGGCCACAUUGGGACUGAGACACGGCCCAAACUCCUACGGGAGGCAGCAGUAGGGAAUCUUCCACAAUGGACGAAAGUCUGAUGGAGCAACGCCGCGUGAGUGAAGAAGGGUUUCGGCUCGUAAAACUCUGUUGUUAAAGAAGAACAUAUCUGAGAGUAACUGUUCAGGUAUUGACGGUAUUUAACCAGAAAGCCACGGCUAACUACGUGCCAGCAGCCGCGGUAAUACGUAGGUGGCAAGCGUUGUCCGGAUUUAUUGGGCGUAAAGCGAGCGCAGGCGGUUUUUUAAGUCUGAUGUGAAAGCCUUCGGCUCAACCGAAGAAGUGCAUCGGAAACUGGGGAACUUGAGUGCAGAAGAGGACAGUGGAACUCCAUGUGUAGCGGUGAAAUGCGUAGAUAUAUGGAAGAACACCAGUGGCGAAGGCGGCUGUCUGGUCUGUAACUGACGCUGAGGCUCGAAAGUAUGGGUAGCAAACAGGAUUAGAUACCCUGGUAGUCCAUACCGUAAACGAUGAAUGCUAAGUGUUGGGAGGGUUUCCGCCCUUCAGUGCUGCAGCUAACGCAUUAAGCAUUCCGCCUGGGGAGUACGGCCGCAAGGCUGAAACUCAAAAGGAAUUGACGGGGGCCCGCCCAAGCGGUGGAGCAUGUGGUUU